GGGGCUGUAGCUCAGUUGGGAGAGCACCUGCUUUGCAAGCAGGGGGUCGUCGGUUCAAUUCCGUCCAGCUCCACCA
rnacentral:tRNA from 2 species